rnacentral:lncRNA from 1 species
CUUGCUGCUUACAAUUAUCUCUAUUUAUAAUGAACUUGGCCCAGUAGUUUCAGAGGAGAAGAUUUUUGUAAAAGAUAACUAAGAUUUACGAAAAAUGGUUCAAAAUUGACUAUAAAGAGCAAUAACUCCUAAAGGGGUCAACUGACCAUUUCAGUAAUGUUGACUUAUUUGUAAAUCUUACUUUGCUGAACAUUAUUGCUGUUUACAGUAAAUCU